GGGGUUGUGGCUCAGUGGUACAACACAUGCCUAGCAUGCAUGAGGCGCUGGGUUCCAUCCCCAGCACCA
rnacentral:tRNA from 1 species